ACCUGUCCAUAUCGUUCAACUGCCUGCAACUUCCAACUGACGAACAUCCACAGCUCCGCGGCCCAGUGACAAACACCAUCUAACAGAUAAGCCUUCUGAAAAGUCAAAGCCAAUACUGCUUCCAUUGAAAAUUUAAUGCCAGCUCCAUCUUUGCCCAUCAUUCUUCCGACUGUUCCAUGUUUCCCAAGAGGCCCUUGAAGCUAAAGCACUGCUCUAUAACAGUUACAGGCAAUUCAUCCAUCUGGUUGCUCAGCUCAAAAUUACUGAGAUCCUUCCACCAGCCAGUCUAAACCCUAUGGUCUCAACACGCAAUGUCCUAACCAUCUCUCUACCUACAGAGCCUCUCAAGCUUCCAGCUCCAGUUGCACUGGACACCCUCACAGCCCUUCUGCAGAGCUGGGAAUGGCCAAAUCCUGCAGGCCCACUCAUGUCCCUGCAAGAAUCCUGAUGUUGGGAGAGAAAGCAUGCAUGUUCCCUCCUUUGCUGCUCCCCAAACGAAAGGCCACCUGCAGCCUUAUAUUUGCAAGAAACUCAUGCUGAGCAUCUGAGCCUAGGAAGACACAGAGUCCUGUCCUCCAACAGCCAGCUCUCAGGCCUUCUCGAACCUCUCCCUUCCCUGCCAGAUGUGACCUUGUACUCUGGAUGCCUGUGGUUUGGCUUUCUCCUCCUCACAAACAUGGAUGCUGUCCUUCUAGCAGAGGGAUUGAUGUGUUUAUGCAUGUAUCAUACCUUCCCCUCUGAGGAUGGGGGCAUGCCUUGCCCAAAGCACCCAGCCAGGGCUGAGCACAGGGACUCAACUAGGAGGAUUUUUGCUGACUGAUAAGUCCCCACUGGACAGGUCUGAGGGUUCUCCCCAAACCAUGCACUCUGGCAGUGGGCUAGUCUGACCACCUCCCCCGCCGUGUGUGUGAGACCCGCUGGUGGGCACUGUACACAGCAUGGACGUGGAAGACAAGCCUGGAAGUGAUGACUCUGCUGGAGUGAGCAGCACCACAACACAGAGCAGAUCGCUGGAGGGAAAGAUCACCUGGGGCGGCACUCCAGGGUGGAGUCAGG
rnacentral:lncRNA from 1 species